rnacentral:rRNA from 1 species
UACGGAGGGUGCGAGCGUUGUCCGGAAUCACUGGGCGUAAAGGGCGCGUAGGCUGCGCGACAAGGCGGCGGUGAAAGUCCGGGGCUCAACCCCGGAUCGGCCGUGGCGACUGUCGCGCUCGAGCACAGUAGAGGCGGGUGGAAUUCCGGGUGUAGCGGUGGAAUGCGUAGAGAUCCGGAAGAACACCGGUGGCGAAGGCGGCCCGCUGGGCUGUGGCUGACGCUGAGGCGCGACAGCGUGGGGAGCAAACAGG